rnacentral:rRNA from 1 species
GUCUAUAACCAUAUCACCCUGAAUGUGCUCAGUCUUGUCUGGUCUUAGAAGCUAAGCAGGGUCUGGCCUGCGUAGUACUUGGAGGGGGACCACCUGGGAAUAUUGAAUGCUGUAGGCU